UUCAUUCCUACUGUAUGGACUUGGAAGGAAACCCCGAGAAAAUUUGUGCCUUUUUAAGAUGCUUGAGCCUUAAGUGCUAUUUAUGAAGAAUGUAACCACUUUCACAACUCCUUCAAGACUUCAGGAGUUGUCGCAAUCUGAUACGUGUCCUCAAAACCUGCCUAAUACAUGCAGUUUUCUGUUAAAAAAAUGACUCUAGUGAUGAGAGUGCCCAUCUGAGCUGUGGUGACCCACAUUCGAUAGAGACCUCUGCCAGAAGGUGUUCCAGCUUCCUUCUAGAAUACUGCCACAAGCGUCGGGGUACAGAGGUAUUUUGAGGUGGCAGGUAUGAUACAGGACAUAAUGAUCAGCACCACAACUGCUUCACUUCCAUAUUUAAGGUUUGGCCAGAAUAAACGGUGAGCAGCCUGAGGGGAGAAUAAACCAAAUGAUAUAGUUCUGGCAGAGACUCCUCCUACGCUUAUAGACUCCAGGGACAAGGUUAGGUUCGUUCUGGGAACGCAGUCAUUACAGAUAUCCCUACAUGAGUUUAUAAGCACCAGAAGUCAAAUUCAGAGGAYUUAGAAGUUAUACAGUUGUCUGUUUAGUAUUUCCUACCAUUAGAAGUCUAAAGGAUAGGUAAAGCAUAGGUAUCACAACAGCUUCAGAGGAUAACUGACCACAGAUGAUAACAUAAAUCACAGGAACCACAUGGCAGUAUGGGGUAAGCUGGUACAUGUAGACGCUGUACUGUGGAGGUGGAAAGGAGUAAAUACAAGUUUAGCCUGAUGUAGGAGCCUGGAUUUACCAACACAGGUUCUUCAGCAACCCUAUUUUUCAAAUACUAAUUUUCUUGAGGUACAAUAUUUGAGGUUUCCAAUUUUCUCUCUAGCUUAGUCUACCUUUUUAUUUUGCUCUAGGAAUUUCUGAGUUUGAAGAAAAAAAGAGGCUGGCAGUGGAGAAUGGAAGACCCAGUCUACACCACACUGAGCUCUCUGAGGAGAUACCUAAAGCUUAGGCUGCAGAGCACCAAUUGCGGUAGCGUAAGUGACUGUGGAAACCUGUCUACUAUGGCUGGACUACCUCCACCACCCCUUUCACAAGGGCUAAUUAGCAGCCAUCGGAUUAAUUUGACUGUAAUUUAUUAGCCUCGACUAGUUCUAAGCCAAUGGCCUACACGUGAAAAAUAGUAAAUCAAGGAAGUAACCAUUUGUUGACAUUCCUGUCCGUUAGGAAYGGACAUCAGCCGUUAUCCUGAUGGUAACAUGCCUCUUUGUCAUAUGUACUUAAACCAGCGCAGGUUAGAAUAUUCAGUUCAGAUUGUUACAAAUGCCUUUAUCCAUUCCCAUUGACAUUUUAAACAAACGGUGAUAUAUUUAGUACAAUAAUUACAGUUAUUUGAUUACCUUUCUUUUAGCCUGAAGUAGAAGGCAACUGACAGAUGUGAAUACCUCUGAGACCAAUACUCUGUAAUAAACUAACAUUAUUUAUUACA
rnacentral:lncRNA from 1 species